rnacentral:lncRNA from 1 species
AUAAGUAGGUCAUAGAUCGAGGCAGUAAACACAAAUGCAUUACCGUGCCUUUUUAGACCUUGCUUGAUUUGCCCUCGAUCCCCCUUGGGAAGGGGAGGAGCACAAUGCAUGGGCAAGGGCCAGGCCAAGCAGAUGGGGGAUGCAACUGCGCCUGCGCGGCACCACGCCACACUCGGAUCACCCUGCGGCCUGCGCGCUCCAGCUCCAUCGCUUUCUAUCCGCUUAUCCGGCGGCCGGGCCGGCCAGCCGGCCGGCUGGGGGCUUCAAUCCACAGAAAGCUUUCUUGGAUCACUAACCCUCGAGAUCCCCUAGCAUAGGCAUAGCUACGUACCUGACCACCUCAGUGGCUGCAUGCCACAGCACACACAACACCCUUUCCCUUUUUUAACCCUCCACCUGCACUCCACAUGGCCUGCCCCGCCGCAUGGAGCCCCUCGGCCCGCGCAUUGUCUCCUUUGGUCCUU